GUUAGUAACACGUGGAUAACCUACCUAUAGGACUGGGAUAACUUCGGGAAACCGGAGCUAAUACCGGAUAAUAUAUUGAACCGCAUGGUUCAAUAGUGAAAGACGGUUUUGCUGUCACUUAUAGAUGGAUCCGCGCCGCAUUAGCUAGUUGGUAAGGUAACGGCUUACCAAGGCAACGAUGCGUAGCCGACCUGAGAGGGUGAUCGGCCACACUGGAACUGAGACACGGUCCAG
rnacentral:rRNA from 1 species